rnacentral:rRNA from 1 species
UGCGCAGGCGGUUUGGUAAGACAGAUGUGAAAUCCCCGGGCUCAACCUGGGAAUUGCAUUUGUGACUGCCCGGCUAGAGUGUGUCAGAGGGGGGUAGAAUUCCACGUGUAGCAGUGAAAUGCGUAGAUAUGUGGAGGAAUACCGAUGGCGAAGGCAGCCCCCUGGGAUAACACUGACGCUCAUGCACGAAAGCGUGGGGAGCAAACAGGAUUAGAUACCCUGGUAGUCCACGCCCUAAACGAUGUCUACUAGUUGUCGGGUCUUAAUUGACUUGGUAACGCAGCUAACGCGUGAAGUAGACCGCCUGGGGAGUACGGUCGCAAGAUUAAA